CGACAGCAAUGGGAGGGAGAUUUGGUGUUAUACAUCCUUUUAUAACAUGGGAAUGUAUUUGCUACUCCAAAGAAUAAAUUUUAAAGCUUAAGUACCAGGACUGGCGGGUUAUUUGUGCCUGGGAAGACUGGCCCCUGAGUUUCCGGCUUGUUAAUCAGAAUCAGGGCUAUGCCUGGCUGAACCACAAAAGGCAGGCCCAGUGACCGGCCCUGGGGCACAGCCAGAGGCAACAGCCUGGCAUCUGGUGCCCGCCACUGCUGACAGGCCUGCCCAGAAGGCCAGUCUCCCGACUGAACAGCAGAGGACCCGGGUCCUUUGGGGAUGCGGAGCUCAUCAGAGCAGCCUUUCUGGGAUUGACAUUUUGAUGGAGAAAGUGGUUAUUCUUAGGAGAUGCACUCUGAGUAUUUUAGGAUGAAGCAUCUUGAUGCCUGAGCCUACUUUCCAACGGUCCAGGGAAGAAAAGCCUGCUGUCACAGAGGCUAGGGAGUCAAGCAAACCGUCGUAUUUCAAGCCUUCCACAUCAGCCAUAGCAGAGGACGAACCUCGACCUUUGACACUGAGGCAGCAGACACAGAAGGUGUAGACAGUGAGCUGUCUGCCCUCAUGGAAUCAGACGACGAUCAAAUGUUAAAAUAGAUGACCUCUUCCUCUCUCCUGCACCCCCGUCUCCUGGACCUCGCACUGCCUCAAACUCCGACGACUCAGCCUAAGCCCAUCAGCACCACCACCGCCUGUCGGCCUUCCCGUGUGUUCGCUGUCUUUCCGCUUCUGGCAAGUGAGACUACACUGUGCAUACACUAUUUCCACUUCAUACAGGCUUUGCAUUUGUCACAUCCUUCCUGCUUUUACCAUAAUAAGUUAGUGUUAUUUUGGGUGUUAUGCAUUAUUUCCUAUGAUUUGGUAGGCUAUCUUUUGGGUCUGGGAGUGCUCAAAAAUUUUUCCCAUAGAAAUUAAUGGUAAUCGCUCUUGGCAUUGCGUUUCAGCUUAUGAAAGGUUUCGUGGAAAUACCCUGCUUUUUGGUAGCGGGGGAGACCUGUGCUUGGGUACUGAAGGUGAGGCUCGGCUGAGCCUAGGAGGUCAAGAAUGUGUCUGCAUCAUAACCACAGACAACCACACAGAUAAAGGCUGGCAGUGGGCAGACAGACCACACAGGGUAAAUCAAGCAGGGCAUUCCCACCCAAAGGACAUCAGGGAACUCAGGAUAUGUGGCCAAGAUUGAGCUCCAUUCCCCUGGGCAGGUGGUGAUUCAAGGUUUGAGACCCACAUUCCCUGAAGGCUCAGAGCUGCUCCUCCUCCUCUUCCUCGUUCUUGGGGAUCCCUCUAGAGGCCAGAGCAUGCCACUGACAGAGGGGCUGUGCAGGAGCUGAGCUUUAGCUGAGCUAAAGAUCUCUUUAGGAUGAUUUCUCCCACAAAGGGCAUGGUUUGGAGGAGAUUUAGUAGUGGUCCUUGCCCACCACCAGAAGUUAUCAUUCUGUUCUUUGUGAGAAUGUGGAAUUCCCCCCAGUGUUGGCUAGAUGGGAGAGCAAGAAUGGGAGUGCUGUGUGCUUGGGGAAACCACAGGGCGUGAAGAUGCUAAUUAGUGUGAACUGGCCGACGACAUGCUGUGGGAGGUGAACAUGCUCCAUAUGGCCAUUGAUGGUGGGCAAUGGAAAUGUGGACACCUUGGGUCUAGAGGACCCUGUAUAGGGCUACAAAUUCAGGUCAUGAGCUAGGGGUCUAAAUAUGAAAUGAUGUGGUCGAGGAGCCACAAAAUAAGCCAAACACGCUCAGGAGGCAGGAACAGGUCCAUGGGGCCUGGAGCUGAAGGGUUCCCAUUUUGCGCUGUUGAUGGUAUUAGCUGUUUUUCUAAUGGCCAUCAGCUCCUUGGGUGGCCUUGUGGUCCUGGGUAGCUAACACACCUUUUUCCACUGGUGCUCAGCAGUCCUGAAGUCAUGGCCCUGUGAGUCGGUUUCCUGGCCCAGGUCCCAGGGCAGGGCCACUCCCCUUGGGCUGCACUGCAAGAGCGGAGGUAGGAAACGAAGAGGCUGCCUUCAAGAAGACAUCAAGUCAAAGUCAGAAUCAAAGCAGUCCUCGGUUAGAAGAAACUGGUCAGAAAGAGAGUCUUGUCACAACCAAGAGGAGAAAAGCUGAAAGAAACAGAUAAGACUCAGGUCAAGGGGCUGGCCCCGUGGCCAAGUGGCUAAGUUCGCGCACUCCGCUGCAGGCGGCCCAGUGUUUCAUUGGUUCGAAUCCUGGGCGCGGACAUGGCACUGCUCAUCAAACCACGCUGACGCAGUGUCCCACAUGCCACAACUAGAAGGACCCACAACGAAGAAUA
ensembl:lncRNA